UACGGGGGGGGGCAAGCGUUGUUCGGAAUUACUGGGCGUAAAGGGCGCGUAGGCGGUGUGUCAAGUCAGGCGUGAAAGCCCCGGGCUCAACCUGGGAACCGCGCUUGAGACUGGCACGCUCGAGUUCGGGAGAGGAUGGUGGAAUUCCCAGUGUAGAGGUGAAAUUCGUAGAUAUUGGGAAGAACACCGAUGGCGAAGGCAGCCAUCUGGACCGACACUGACGCUGAGGCGCGAAAGCGUGGGGAGCGAACGGGG
rnacentral:rRNA from 1 species